GACGAACCGUGCAAACGUUGUUCGGAAUCACUGGGCUUAAAGGGCGCGUAGGCGGCUCGCCAAGUCGGGGGUGAAAUCUUUCGGCUCAACCGGAAAAGUGCCUUCGAUACUGGCGGGCUGGAGGGAGGUAGGGGCAUGUGGAACUUCCGGUGGAGCGGUGAAAUGCGUUGAUAUCGGAAGGAACGCCGGUGGCGAAGGCGGCUCACUGGCCCGGUACUGACGCUGAGGUGCGAAAGCGUGGGGAGCAAACAGG
rnacentral:rRNA from 1 species